UGGCAACCCACCCCAGUAUGCUUUCCUGGAGAAUCCCGUGCACAGAGGAGCCUGGCGGGCUACAGUCCACAGGCCGCAAAAAGUCGGACUGAGCAAGCCCCUGAGCGCAGCACAGCACACACAGCUAGUAAGUAGUGAGUCCCCGCCUGUGGUGUCCAACCCAAGUCUUGAUUUUGCUGUGCAUCCUCCUCAACGUCUCUGAAUUCCCACAGCCUCUAUUAGACCAGGUAUCCCAUUGUUUAACAGUUGGUGCUCACUCCUACCCUCUAGGUACUCUGACCUGGCAGGUAAGAAUUAUAUCAUUAGUUCAUCAUGGCAUUCCUAACAUCUAGAAUGCCUAGUUCAAGGGACGUGCUUUCUAGCUGUUGUUUGGGUGAGUGAGUGUGUUGAUAUUUGGUUGAUUGUCUGAUAAAUGAACUAGUAGAUUGAAAAUAAAUUUUUUCAGGGACUUCCCUAACAGUCCAGUGGUUAAGAUUCUGCACUUCCCCUGCAGAGGGUACCGGUUUGAACCCUGGUUGAGGGACUAAGAUCCUACUUGCUGCUCAGCGAAGCCAAAAAAAAAAAAAAUGAAAAUUUUUCAGUUGGUAGGGAAUUUGAGAUUAGUCAGCCUAGUUCUCUCAUUUUUGUAAAUGGGGUAACUAAGGCCUUUUGUCUUAUCAGAUAUCUAUUGAGUUAGUAAUAUGGGCCAGUUCUAAUGCUAAAUGAUUUGUAAAUAGUCUUAAACUUAAUCUGUAUAUCAUUUCUAUUUUUGCAGGUGAAGAAACCAAGAUUUGGCCAAGAUCACAUAGCUAGGUGGUAGGGAGUUAGAACCCACUAUGACUGACUCCAAAUGAAUACAGUGUUUGUAGCCACAUUAUAAUAAUCGUAAAGGCUUUUGUUUUUGCUCUGUUGUAUGGGUAAACACACUGAGGGAAUAAGGCAGCACAUUCUUAAAGGAUAUACAUUCAGUGGAAAGAAUCAGCAAAGGAAACAGAAGCCGAAAAAGUAAAACCUCCCAAAAUAAACUUAAAAGGAAUUAAAGAUAAAAGCAGAAAUUUAUGAAACAAAUUGAUCAUAAUAGUAGCUGGUGUUUGAAAAGAACAAAUAGCAAGUCUGAGGAAGAAAAGGAAAGAAAACAGGAACAAGGGGACCAUAUUACAGAUAUGAGGGACUUUGAAAACAGAAGUGAAUUAUUUGUGUCUCUGCUCAGUCACUCAGUGUUGGCCAACUCCUUAGGGCCCAGUGAACUGUAGCCUGCCAGGCCCUUCUGCCCAUGGAAUUUUCCAGGCAAGAAUACUGGAGUAGGGAGCCAUUCCCUUCUCCAAGGGAUCUUCCUGACCUAGAUAUUGAGUAGUCAUUGCAGUACUUUGUAAAUUAGAAACUUGAAUGUACAUCAGGGAAAGAAUGGCUGGAUAAAUUACAUUAUAUUCAUAUAAUGAAAUAUUAUAUGAGGAGAAUUGCAGCUCUCCAUGCAUUAAUCAAGAUGAAAAUAGUUGUAAGACAGUAAAUGAAAAAGGAGGCAAAAUCAUAGGUAUGUGAUCUCAUCUAAUUUCUAAAAAUUACUUUGUAGAAUUUUCCAAAGUUUGGUAAAGAUCUAAAUUGUUAAAUCGGUGACUAUUUUAUAGAAUAAUGAAAAGCAACUUUGUUUUCAUCUGGUAUCAAUUUUUAAUUUUUUAGAUAUUCCUAAGUAAAAUUAAGAAGCACAGGAAAACAUGCGCUGUUACAUAAAGCAAAAGAUACUUUUAAGAAGUGUAUGAGCCAAGAAUGAUUAAGAGGACGCUGUUUUUAGCAAGGAGUCACUGAUAAUAUUAAGGAGAACAAUUUUAAUGAAAUAGGCCAGCUAUAUAAAACUCCACAGGAUUUCAAGGCAAAAAAGGAGGUGCUGCUGAUUUCCAGAUCAGUUGUCAGAUCUGGCUGUUUACUAGAAUUAACUAUACAGCUUUUUAAUUGGGAUGUAAUUGACAUAGAACAUUGGUUUUGGUAUAACUGGAGCUUUUUACUUAUUAGAGGUGUUUGUGAGAAUCUACUAAAUAAGACUGGAGGUAAGCAGUCUCUUAGCAUUCACCAUGAUUCUAAUGCACAGCCAAGUUGACGGGCCAUCCUUCUAAGUCACUGCUUGACACCUACAUCAAAAACUAGGAACUGAAUUUUCAACUUCACCUGCAGAUACCUGUGAACAUCUAAGAGAAAUACUGUCCCUCCUCCAUUCCAAGUCCUCUUGUGCUAUUAUCUCUCUUUCCAGCUGAGACUGGGUCAGUCUGUCUCUCCAUUGAGUUCCGUUAGUAAACUAAGUGCUAACAUCUGUUUAUAUAACUAAAUCUCUCCAGUUAAAUUUCAUAGAAGAGCAGCUCUUUUUGUCACCUCUCACCCAUACUCAACUGUUGUUCAGUCAGUAAGGAAUGCCUCUCAAUUUUCCCGUAUUUGACCUUUUUGACUACCCAGUUUCUGGUUUUUACUUCUUCAGUUGUGGUUAUUUCUCACCUUCCCACCUAUGAUACGAGUCUUUAAAUGUUUGUUCCCUGAAUAUUUGUGGUACGUAUGUAGGUUUGAAUGUCCCCUUCCUCGAUUGUGACAUACUUUUAAGCAUUUGAUAAAAGCUAUGGAUGGUCUUCCCCCAAAAAGGCACAUGAAGUCUUGGCCUACAUUUUUAGAUUCAGACUUCAGCAUUUCUUCCAUGACAUUAUUCAUACAACGUAUGAAUGUGUUUUAUCUCUCGCAAAUCAUAAAUGUUUGUCUCAAAUCUAGUGGACACCAGUUUUCUCACUGGACCUCCCCACUGCAUUUACCACAAAUCUCUUUCAAUUUUUAUUCACUUUAGUCUUUAAAAACGAAGACCAGCCUUGGAUGCAGAUGGGAUAUCGCCUCUGUUAAAAAAUUUCUGGUGGCUCCUGUGGUUGUCAGUGUAUAGCAAACACAUGAAGUGUUUUCAAGCCUUCACAUUUGCUGCUCAAUCUUUAUAGAUACCCUUGCCUCCUACCAAUGUGGACUCUAGUUUGCCCUCAGAUUCCACCACCUCUACAUACCAAGUCUUCCUUAACCAACCUUCAGAUAGUUUGGUGUGCCUGUUAUCUUAGGGUAUUUUUGUAAAUUGCAGAAAUAGUAUGAAAUGAAGUGAAACAAAGCUAGGUUCACAUUCUUGUUCUACAACUUCAUAAAUGAAGGAUUCAAUCUGUAAAGUGAGAAUACUAUCUACUAUUUAGAAUUAUUUGUAAGCAUCAGAGUAAAUAUAUAUAAAGAGUUUGCAAAUGCCUACCGUAUAGUAAGUGCUGAACACUGACUUUUGUUCUUUUAUAAUAGCCUAUCUCCUCCAGUAGAUGGCAGAAAAGAUUAACCUUGCAUCUCAGAGUGCCCAGCUCACAGCAAGUGCCUUAUUCAUGUGUUCAAGAACAGAGUGAUGAUAGACAGGAAAAGGAAAUCACUUUCUGAAGGCACUCAGGAAAUAAACAGAUACAAACUGGAGUUUCUUCAUCAUUCUAUUUAUUACAUGUAUGAAUAUUAACAUCUCAUGGCAUCCAUCUAAUUCAGUCAAAACCAACAAAGGAAAAAAGGUUAACCAUGUUUCAAAUUAACAUUCUUACAGAUUCCCCUGUAACUUAAAAUAGAAAUAAUGUUCAUCUGCAUUAAAUUGACAAAUCUGAAAAUUGUCGUUAAAAAAAAAAA